UACGUAGGUGGCAAGCCUUAUCCGGAUUUAUUGGGUGUAAAGGGCGUGUAGGCGGGAAUGCAAGUCAGAUGUGAAAACUCAGGGCUCAACCCUGAGCCUGCAUUUGAAACUGUAUUUCUUGAGUGCUGGAGAGGCAAUCGGAAUUCCGUGUGUAGCGGUGAAAUGCGUAGAUAUACGGAGGAACACCAGUGGCGAAGGCGGAUUGCUGGACAGUAACUGACGCUGAGGCGCGAAAGCGUGGGGAGCAAACAGG
rnacentral:rRNA from 1 species